GACGAACGCUGGCGGCGUGCUUAACACAUGCAAGUCGAACGGAAAGGCCCUUCGGGGUACUCGAGUGGCGAACGGGUGAGUAACACGUGGGUGAUCUGCCCUGCACUUUGGGAUAAGCCUGGGAAACUGGGUCUAAUACCGGAUAGGACCACGGCAUUCAUGUGCUGUGGUGGAAAGCUUUUGCGGUGUGGGAUGGGCCCGCGGCCUAUCAGCUUGUUGGUAGGGUAAUGGCCUACCAAGGCGACGACGGGUAGCCGGCCUGAGAGGGUGACCGGCCACACUGGGACUGAGAUACGGCCCAGACUCCUACGGGAGGCAGCAGUGGGGAAUAUUGCACAAUGGGCGCAAGCCUGAUGCAGCGACGCCGCGUGAGGGAUGACGGCCUUCGGGUUGUAAACCUCUUUCGCCAGGGACGAAGCGCAAGUGACGGUACCUGGAGAAGAAGGACCGGCCAACUACGUG
rnacentral:rRNA from 1 species